rnacentral:lncRNA from 1 species
GAUUUAGAUUUAUAUUUCAAAAUUUUAUUAUUUAUUUUAUUUUAUUUUUUGCAGAAAAAGUAAUAGGACAAUUUUAAAAUAAUCAAACAUGAUGUAUUCUGUUGGUUCUUCCAUCAUGUCUAUGUGUUCAGUUUUCAGUAAUUAUCAAAUUUGAUAUAAAAUCUUUGAGGCAUUGAUAAAUUGCAGAUAUUUUUUUGUAGAUUUGAAAAAUAAUGCAAUGCAAGUUUUGAAUAAUUUACAAUAGUGCUAGAUUUUUUAAUUGUUUAUCAUUGAAUAUUUUUAACUCAGUGCUUGGAUAUGGACAUAUUAUGGUUGUUAAUAUGAAAUAUAACAAAUGGCAAUAUGAGAUAGGAUUCUAUUGAGAAAAUGCUGAAUAGAAUAAUUAAAUAUAAUUGAAUGAAAUAUUAUGAGCUAUAUGUUUGGGACCAAAUACAGUAGAAUAAAAUAUUAUAAAUAUGCAAGUUUAUGUCAAAAUUUUGUAGGAUAUGAAAUAUUUUACAAUCAAAAUUUUUUACAAUUUUAUCAUAGAUAUAGACAGCUAUGCAAAUUACAAUUUUUGUAUAUGUAUCAAUAAUUGUUAAAUCAGUUUAUUAUAGAUUUAAAUUAAUUCUAUUGAAAAACUAAUUUAUGAGAUGAAAAAUACUUCAAACAGAAAUUCAUUAAUGAUAAAAAAAAUUCAAACAUUUACAUUCCAUGUGAUCAUACCGAACCUGUUAACUCAGCAGUAUUUUGAUUUUUUACAAGCGACAAAAAUUGUUUCCCUAAGCAAGACUAGAGUAAAAAAUAAGCUUUGUUUAUGCAAAAAAUGACAUAAAAUGCAUUAAUAGGUUGGUAGUAAAACAUUGAUUUGUAUUGGCUUAUAGUUGUGUUUUGUGCAAUGAUUAAUUGCUAUGAAUGAAUGUACGUGUAUGUAAAUGAGGAUGAAAGAUUCUAUAUUAAGCAUGACAAAAGUUUGAUUUUAUAUAUAGUUGAAUACAAUUAGUAUUUGUUUAAGCCUAAAUGGGCUUAUUUUAUACAAAAUAAACAAGAAAUCUUAUUGAUAUUAUUUUUGUCCUUUGUGUGAAAAGACAAUUGUUUCAUUGGCUGUUAAUCUGUUAAUUGAAUAAAAAGAAGUGCCAAUGUGACAUCAGCAGAUGUCAAUG